UGGCGUUCGCCCCACUGACAGAGCCGAGCGCGGCACGACCUCCUGCUUCUCAGCGCGGGUGGCGGCUGCCGCUCAUGCCCCGGAGCGACCGCUGAUGGGGGAAGGCGGUGGGAGACGGGAUCCCGGCUCCAAAGGUUCAGGGAAGUGGGCAGGACGUACAGAUUCCACAUGUCUGAGGAGCAGCUGCCAUCAAAUUACUCAGGAACACUGCUUUCCCUCCCACCUUCAUAGGUGCACCUGAAAGAUGGUAGACAUCUGUGAACUUGGAGCCUCAAGAAGUUUGACAGCUCCAGUAUCAAGGGAGAUUUGCUCUCUUCAGAAGUUUCAGGGGCUGGUUCUGCACCUCCUUUGAGCACUGCAAGCUCUUGUGACCCUCAGUUCCAGGAGUGUCUUCAUCACUGGUUUUAGGUUGAGUGUGCACUGUGACUGUGCAUGAGCAAAUACACGUCACUCCUUCACAAGUUUGGCUGGACUAUAUCUUACAAGCUUAAAAGUAAGCUUAUAUCAAAAUAAGAGGUCUCCCAUUCAUCUAUCCUGUUAUAUCCACAUGUACUAAGGAACUUCUGGUGACCAUUCUUUGGCAUUGGCAUUAACAUAAUGGUGGAUUCACCAGGAUUAGGGGACUGAUAUGUCUGAAACCCCUUAAAAAUAGUCAUAUCCCCCCCCCCACACACACACAAACAUACUUUCUUUAAUUCUGAGCUGGAAUAAUUUCCUUAUCCAGUUUUCCAUGUAGCUGCACAAGGAAGAGACUUUCCUUGUGGUUAUGCAAAGACAGGUCCUUUCCUUUCCAGCCUGAAUACAGGUCACCUGGGGCAAUGAUGUUGAGGAGAGGGGAGCAUGGCUGGAGAGAAGAAUUCUUGUAAAACUAGACUCUCAAGCUCUCUCUUUGGCAAACGAGAUUAGUUUCCUCCACAACACUACCAAGCAUAGUCCUGUGGAUGAGUUGGUAGUGGAGGACAGGGGAUUGUGUAGUGAGAUACAACCCACUGUUUUGGAUGUUAUGGCUUGAUUCUAAUGGUAUCAUUUUCAGUCUUUGAUUAUAAGUCAGAGUCAAGUUCAAACAUAUGUUGUUUAAAAUAUGUAUUCACUUCAGGCAAAAGACACACCCAGAAGCUGUGUAAGUAUGAUGAUUUUUUUGCAUAUCAUUUAUGCCCUGACAUCAGGCACUGCUUUCAAAUAAUCUACUUCCAGAAAAAGUCAACCCUAAAUCUGACUGGGUUUAGCAGAUUAUUAAAAAUAAUUUACCUAUUGCUAAAUUCAGCAAAACUAAACAAAGUACUAUACAUUUUCUGUUGUGAAUUCAAAUUAGAACAUCUUUCGUAACAUUAGUAAGAGUUCAGUUAAUCUAAUUACAGGUUUUUUAUGCAUUUUGCAAAGGAAUCUCGAGUCAUUACAUCAGACAAUUACAUAUAGUUGUAUGUAGUUAUGUGUAGUUAGAUUUGCAGGAUUAAUAUCAGAAGGUCAAAAGGACUGAACAGUUACAUCUACUAAAUUUUAAAUGAUUUUGUCCACUAAGGCCACCUCAGGAAUUAAAAGUCUCCCCAUGUACUCCUGGAUCACCUUGUAAUCCAAAUCUGUGUCUGGUAUUCAUUUCAGAUUUUUCUAUUUUCAUGGGUAAAUGAAGUGAUUUGGGUAGGGUUCAGCAGCAAAAUGCAGAAGCGAAGCAGAACAACAUUGCUUACACUCUGACACAUCUAACUUCUGAUAGAGUGAGAUAGAAAGCAAUGGCCCAUUUAUUUACUUUCCUGUCAGUAAAUGGCCCUGUAUGAGCAGUGGUAGAAUUAAUGUCCUGUCUAUUUAUUCCUAAACUUUCACAGUUCAGUUUUAUUUGUUGUCAAAGAAGAUGUUUAGGGCUAUCUGAGAGAAGGAAAUGAAGAGUUCAUGCUUUCAAGAUCAUUAUGUCUUUUGGAGAUUCACCAAUUUAGUCCAUUAAAAUAAUAAUCUUAAGGCUAACAACUUUUUUUUUCUAAAACCACAGCUGGAGGUAGAGAUGAACCAGUGAGACCCAUCCUGCUUAUAAAACAAAAGUGGAGCAGGACAUGCUUUUUGUGGAGGCUGCUUGCCUACAUGAAAUACCUUGCAAUAGGCAAGAGAACGUUUUGCCUCAGGCACCUGUCUGGAGGUUACUGAAGAGUCCCACAAAACCUCUGUAUUGUAUGCAGAAGAGCCUUUUCACUUCCUUGUGUGUCACAUCCAAUAUCUUGGAAUAUUUUUCAUGGAAAUUACUCUAAAUGAAGAGCUUUUCUGCCUUCCUUUACUUCUGCCCAUUUGGUAUUGCAAUUGAUACUACUUUUAGUUUAUAGUGGCACUAAGACUUCAUGACCAUUUAUUUCAAACCCUGUGAUUAACCAUCGCUAUUUCAUUUGCA